rnacentral:rRNA from 1 species
AACGAACGCUGGCGGCAGGCCUCAAACAUGCAAGUCUAGGGGGUGUAGCAAUACAUCACCGGCGGACGGGUGCGUAACGCGUGGGAAUAUACCUAUCGAUUCGGAACAACUGAGGGAAACUUCAGCUAAUACCGAAUACGUCCUAACGGAGAAAGAUUUAUCGUCGAUAGAUUAGCCCGCGUUCGAUUAGCUAGUUGGUGGGGUAACGGCCCACCAAGGCGACGAUCGAUAGCUGUUCUGAGAGGAAGAUCAGCCACACUGGGACUGAGACACGGCCCAGACUCCUACGGGAGGCAGCAGUUGGGAAUCUUGGACAAUGGGGGAAACCCUGAUCCAGCCAUGCCGCGUGUAGGAAGAAGGCCUUCUGGGUUGUAAACUGCUUUUGCCGGGGGAUAAAGAUCCAUGCGUGGAGAAUUGAAGGUACCCGGUGAAUAAGCCACGGCUAACUACGUGCC